UCUUUUAGUGUUUUUGGCAGAACUGGUAUUCCAAACUGGAAGAGGUUCUCUGUAUUUAAUUUCCUCUCCGGAAGUUUACCUUCAGAAGUCCAAGUGUGAGGUCAAGCCUUGGGUUGCCGGAAAUGGUAAUGUCCUUUACUGUCUGAGCACCCAGACAGCACUUAAUGAAACAUCCUACUUUGUGGACAUUGCUGCUGCUGCUUCUGAAUUAUGAGGCUUAUCAUGCAUCACUUCUGCAGUGGAUAGCUUUAUUUUUGCAAAGUGUAUGGAAUGAAGUUUGUGGGGAUGUAGACUGCAGGCACUGAAAGACCUAAAUGAAUGUGUAACUUGCUCCUAGAAAAUGGAAAGUCUACCAUAUCAGCUAUGAUUUCCUGCAAAUCAGGUAACUUGCUCCUAGAAAAUGGAAAGUCUACCAUAUCAGCUACGAUUUUCUGCAAAUCAGGUA